UUCCUCCCCUCCCUUUCCUGGGAGGGCAGCGCCCCAGGGACUGGUGCUCAGAAGCUGGUCGUAAAACUGAUGGCGUCCUCUCUCCUGUUCAGGUUUGGGAAAUUGCUCCUGCUCCUCCCGUCUUUGAGGUUUAUCACUGCGGAACGCAUCGAGCUCCUCUUUUUCCGCAAGACCAUAGGGAAUACUCCAAUGGAGAAGCUCCUUUGUGAUAUGUUCAAAAACUAGUGGGGGUGGAGGUGAAAUGUUUCCAAGCACUCUGGAAAACAAUCUACUGAAACGAAACAUUUGCCUGCUCUUUGCCCCAGCAAUUCCUCUUAGGUGUGUGUACCCAGCAGAAAUGCCUACCGAAAGAUAUUACCUCAAUAAAAAAGUAAAAAAAAAAAA
rnacentral:sRNA from 1 species